GUUAACUUGUUGAUUUCACAGAGAUCGAUCCCUUCAUAUGGAAUCUUGCGUAUGACGAGAUUCUUCUCACUCCCCUCCCCGCUAGCUGCAACUUUGUCUGCUACGUGAUGAUACACUGAUUAUGACUGGUGAAGAUACAUAGGAGAGUCCGACGGAAUUGGAGAUGGCUCCUUAGAAAACAGAGGCUCUGUUUUCACGAUCGGGUCUGUGGUAAGCUCCCUUCAAUGGAAAUAUAAAUUAUUAGGACAGCCCGCGUUCAAGUACGCUCCAGGAUGAAGUACCUGGGGCUCGAGCUAAAUAGGUUCUAGAGGUUCAUACUUUAUUUCAAGGCCAUAACCCUCAAAGCGGACAGAAUUGCGGCUACACUAAAUCACCUUCUGUCCAAUCUUGAUGGACAGAGCUCUGUCUCGAAUAUGUCAAGGCCUUAUAUAUGGACCCGAGAAAUGGCAGUAAAUAGGCGUAUAAAACACCUAGUAUUCUCCUUACAACAGAAACUGGCUAUACGGGUGACCCGGAUCUAUCGCACAGUGUCUCACACAGCAAUCACCGCAGAGAUGUCCCCCGGUUGAUCUCAUCGCCAAUGAGCGUGCCAAGGUCUAUCGGUACGUUCGGCGAAUGAAAGAGAGAGAGGGCGGGCCAACCGCAAAGGCAGUGAACAUCCUGAGGGAACGGGAAAAGGGAAAAGCUAUUUGGGAGUAGGAAAAGUAUCUUCUGUACCCGGACUCCUCCAGACCACCGAGACCAUCCAACCCAUCUCAAGAAAUCCAAAGGCGGACUGUCUUAUCAUUUGGUGCAGGUGCUCUCCAGGUGUGAAUGCUUCGGCAAGUCCUUGUAUCGAAUUCAAAAGAAGACCCCUCGGUGUCACUGUGACGCUGGAGUGGACACGGCCCAUUUCAUCUUGCCCAUUAUCGAUAUAAUCGGAAAUUACUUAUCUUUUUCGAACAUCAUAAAGAUGUUCGGUAGGGAACAUAAAUUGAAUGGUUGUUUCAAACUACUGCACCUCGAUAUGGUGCAAAAAGAGCCGAGACGGUGGGAGGUCCCCCCCCCCCCAAUUUCGCAAAGAGGAAUGUGGCGGGCUUCCUCUUUUCCCAAAAAUUGCGAAAAAAGAAUGCCGUACCCAUUUGAAAUAGAAGAAACUCUUUUCCCUGCAAUUCUCUGGCGCGUAUGGGAUCGACCCCACGCCACCGCGAGGAAAUCGAUCGCAGUGUGCCACAUGCCUAUGGCGCCACAGUCUGAGAGGAAGCUGGAAGUAUACCGCUGGUGAUUUCCGGCUUCUUCCUUCUAAAGAUUGUCAGUCGGCAGCGGUGGGGUUUUUAGUGGGUAGGCGGUGUCUCUUGACGUUCCCCCCGAGAAGAGGGCACAAAAGCGUCGAAUCCCACUACCCCCGAGUUAAGUCGAUUCCGAGAGUGUCUUCUUUUCUCUUCCAUGGGAUAUUCUUCUACGGGGAUGAUCGCUUCUUUGAGGAGUAUACGAAGAUUUUCUCCACCUUAAAAAAAAAAAGUAGCUAGCUUAGAUAGUUGAGUAUUAGAGAUUCAGAAAAGCAAUUUUAAUUAGGUAGAGAUUAAGGCUUGAUUUUUAAUGAUCGUUAACUUAUGCCGGUGUCGGUAAAGUUCAACCAUAGGAUUUCAAUGCUUUUGUUCAUAUUUGCUAUUCGGAUGCUGGUAACUUAUGCAGUAUCUAACUGAACUUUAUCUUUAACGGCAAGUGAUCAUGUAGAGGUUGAUCAAAAUUUACAAGUCUGUGUGACCGCUGUGACUGAUUCUAUAUCAUUUCUGUGCAGCUUUGAUACGAGCUAAGAUGGAAAUAAACGAAACAAUUUUUAAUAUUAAAUUAAUAACUUUAAAGAUUUCCACAUUUGUACGAUAAAUCUAGCGCAAAAUAUAAAGAUCGCACCGCUGUAGAUAAUUCAUGAUGGUUCAUAAACGAAGAAUUACAAAUAUCAGUCGUUGGACGUCACAAAAUAGAUUUUCUAAAGAACGUGCCAAAAAGACUCUCAGCUACACAAACGAAAUGGCCGUUAAUGAAAUAUCUGGCAUUCUUACACGCUGUGGUGAGGAAAAGAUGAACAUUUGGAAAUGUUAGAAUGACGAAUGAUUCAUUCGUAUCAAAUGUAGACGAUUCUUUUUUGAAAAAUUUUCCUGAAUCCCAGAAUUUUGAUGAAGACAAUACAAGCAACAAUACAAGCCUGAUUGAAAAGGAUGAUUCUAUACAAUACAUUAUGAAUAUUUAAGUAAAUAUUUUAAUUAUGAGACAGAUUCUGCAGAUGCUCACGCGGAUAUACCUAUUGUGGAGGAACCUUUUGAAUCUUUGUCAAAUCUUUGCAAUGAAAAUAUAUUUCAUGAACAACAAGGUUGAACACUUCAACAUUCAAUACAUCUAUAUUACAAAGAUUAUCAAACACAUGUACACCACGAAGAUCCACAACACCUCUAUACCAAACACAUCUAUACCACUUAACAUUUAUACCAAGAACUGGUCAUAAGACAAAACCCUUAGACGUUAAUAUAUAAUUAACUAGUGCUGUAGAUGCUUUUAAAAACUAUGUUACUUAUAGAAAUACUACAAAUGCUGAAAACGAUUCCCGAAAAAAUUUUUGUGAUUCUUAU
rnacentral:lncRNA from 1 species